UACGUAGGGUGCGAGCGUUGUCCGGAAUUACUGGGCGUAAAGGGCGCGUAGGCGGUUCGUUAAGUCCUGUGUGAAAUCCCCCGGCUCAACUGGGGAACUGCACAGGAAACUAGCGGGCUUGAGUUCGGGAGAGGGAAGCGGAAUUCCGGGUGUAGCGGUGAAAUGCGUAGAUAUCUGGAGGAACACCGGUGGCGAAGGCGGCAUCCUGGACCGGCAUUGACGCUGAGGAGCGAAAGCCAGGGGAGCAAACGGG
rnacentral:rRNA from 1 species